GUUUGUUUUAUAUUGCCACACCCGUUCCUUUUCCAUGAUUCCUUUUGUUUCAGUUGAAGCCUGCAGGCAGUUGCUCAAGCCUUCUGUCCUUUCUUGCAGGUAAGUGCUAUAUGUAUUUCUCAUUGUUCUUUUAGCAUACAUUAGGCAGAGCAGGACCUGCCAGAUAUGGGGUACAUUGGCGUUGUGGCAGGCUUAUGCAAUGUAUGAUCAUAU